rnacentral:tRNA from 1 species
GCGCCCGUAGCUCAAUUGGACAGAGCUCCUGACUUCGGAUCAGGAGGUUGCAGGUUCAAAUCCUGCCGGGCGCACCA